GACUCUGGGCCCUACAAGGUUACUGACGUCAGCCCAACUCCGAAUGCCGGUAAGUGAGAGCGCAGCAGUGAGACUGUGGGGGAUAAGCUUCAUAGUCGAGAGGGAAACAACCCAGACCACCAACUAAGGUCCCAAAGCGCGUGCUAAGUGGGAAAGGAUGUGGAGUUGCUCUGACAACCAGGAGGUUGGCUUAGAAGCAGCCACCCUUGAAAGAGUGCGUAAUAGCUCACUGGUCAAGUGAUUCCGCGCCGACAAUGUAACGGGGCUCAAGCACGCCACCGAAGUUGUGGCAUUGACAUUAUUGGUAGGCCUUCGUGGUCCAGCCGUGUUGAUGGGUAGGAGAGCGUCGUGUGGCCAGCGAAGCGGCGGUGGAAACCAGCCGUGGAGGCUACACGAGUGAGAAUGCAGGCAUGAGUAGCGAAUGACGUGUGAGAAACACGUCCUCCGAAAGACCAAGGGUUCCAGGGUCAAGCUAAUCUUCCCUGGGUAAGUCGGGACCUAAGGCGAGGCCGACAGGCGUAGUCGAUGGACAACGGGUUGAUAUUCCCGUACCGGCGAAGAACCGCCCAAGCUAAUCCAGUGGUGCUAAACGUCCGAGCCUUCACAUCGUUGCCUUCGGGUGACACCGUGGAGGGGAGCACGUGACCCCAUGCUGGUGCGGUUAGCGUAUUAACAGGUGUGACGCAGGAAGGUAGUCCAAGCCAGGCGAUGGUUGUCCUGGUGCAAGUGCGUAGGCCGAGUCGUAGGCAAAUCCGCGACUCAUACAGGCUGAGACACGAUGCGGAUAAAAAGUGGAUGAUCCUAUGCUGCCGAGAAAAGCAUCGACGCGAGGUUCUAGCUGCCCGUACCCCAAACCGACUCAGGUGGUCAGGUAGAGAAUACCAAGGAGAUCGAGAGAAUCGUGGUUAAGGAACUCGGCAAAAUGCCCCCGUAACUUCGGGAGAAGGGGGGCCUUCGACGUAUUAGGACUUGCUCCGAAAGCGUUUGGAGGCCGCAGAGACUAGUGGGUAGCGACUGUUUACUAAAAACACAGGUCCGUGCCAAGUCGCAAGACGAUGUAUACGGACUGACGCCUGCCCGGUGCUGGAAGGUUAAGAGGACCGGUUAGCCGCAAGGCGAAGCUGAGAAUUUAAGCCCCAGUAAACGGCGGUGGUAACUAUAACCAUCCUAAGGUAGCGAAAUUCCUUGUCGGGUAAGUUCCGACCUGCACGAAUGGCGUAACGACUUCCCAACUGUCUCAACCGCGAACUCGGCGAAAUUGCAUUACGAGUAAAGAUGCUCGUUACGCGCAGCAGGACGGAAAGACCCCGUGACCUUUACUACAGCUUGGUAUUGGUGUUCGGUGUGGCUUGUGUAGGAUAGGUGGGAGACUUUGAAGCGGUGACGCCAGUUACCGUGGAGUCAUUGUUGAAAUACCACUCUGGUCACUCUGGAUAUCUAACUUCGAACCGUAAUCCGGUUCAGGGACAGUGCCUGGUGGGUAGUUUAACUGGGGCGGUUGCCUCCCAAAAAGUAACGGAGGCGCCCAAAGGUUCCCUCAACCUGGUUGGCAAUCAGGUGGCGAGUGUAAGUGCACAAGGGAGCUUGACUGUGAGACUGACAGGUCGAGCAGGGACGAAAGUCGGGACUAGUGAUCCGGCAGUGGCUUGUGGAAGCGCUGUCGCUCAACGGAUAAAAGGUACCUCGGGGAUAACAGGCUGAUCUUGCCCAAGAGUCCAUAUCGACGGCAUGGUUUGGCACCUCGAUGUCGGCUCGUCGCAUCCUGGGGCUGGAGUAGGUCCCAAGGGUUGGGCUGUUCGCCCAUUAAAGCGGUACGCGAGCUGGGUUUAGAACGUCGUGAGACAGUUCGGUCCCUAUCCGCUGCGCGCGUAGGAAGUUUGAGAGGAUCUGACCCUAGUACGAGAGGACCGGGUUGGACGAACCUCUGGUGUGUCAGUUGUUCCGCCAGGAGCACCGCUGAUUAGCUACGUUCGGGAUGGAUAACCGCUGAAAGCAUCUAAGCGGGAAGCCGGCCUCAAGAUGAGACUUCCAUACCUUCGGGUGAGAGGCUCCCAGCCAGACUACUGGGUUGAUAGGCCAGAUGUGGAAGCACGGUAACGUGUGCAGCUGACUGGUACUAAUAAGCCGAUGACUUGAUAACACACC
rnacentral:rRNA from 1 species